GGGCCGCAGACUCUUCGGUAUACAUGUCCUCGGUCACGGCAUUCAACUGGUGCGACACGGCCUUUGCCUUCUGCAGCUAAU